ACGAGAAGGAGAUGAAUCAGAAGUUUCAAAGGAGACGGAUAGAGUGAGUGUAGAGUAUUACGAUCCUAUGUGAUUUUGUGGUUUGUGUUGUGGUUUCUGUAAUUGAAGUUUUUAAUUAGGUUUUCUCAUUGUUGUUGUAGGGUAUAGAAAGAGGUAAGAGUAAAGAAGACCAAAUGGAUGUCAUUCAUGCUUAUUCCCAUCUCUCGAUUUCUCAUUUCUUACCAACAACACAACUUAAUCUUGUUUAGAUUGGUUUCUCGUCUUUUACGUGAUAUAUAUGUAUAAUCUAAUCAUCUGUGUAUUUAGCAAUCACAUCUGUGGUAACAAUCUCUAAGAUAUUUUGAGGAACAAUGGAUUAGCAAUAGAGAAAAGAAUGAAAGAAGAGACAAAAGGAAGCAUGGUCCUUCUCGUAAAAUUGUGUUUCACAUUGUCUCUUUGCUCUGGUAAGUAUAAAUUCCUUUCGCAAAGAUGGAAAACAGGUUAAUGCUGCAAAUACACUUCAUCUUUCUUCAGUUUUGGUCUGUUUAUUUGAUAAAAUCUGAAAUGUGUGUGUUUGUUUCUUGUUCUUUUGUUUAUCCAGAUUGCAUACAGUAAAAGAUAGAUGCUACAUAUUAUUGAUUUUUUUUCUUCUUCUUCUUUUUUUCUUUUGCUGCUAGCUCUUCUUGGCUUUCUCCUGUCAAGUUUUCACAAGUCACAAGAUUUUUGAGGAGCUUUCUUCCUUCCGAAAAUCUUGGUAAUCAUUUUGAGAGACUACUGGAGAGUAAUAUGCAAAACUUGUUUGAGAAAUUGAGACCUCUUGUGGGUUCAAGAGCUUGGGAUUAUUGUGUUCUUUGGAGACUAAACGAAGACCAAAGAGACAACCAAUAACAAAGAAAAGAACCAAACUGCAGAGGAUAUGGAGAAGGCAGCGAAGUGUGGACAUCAACCUACGUUCUUGGAGGGAGAGAAAGAGCAAACCAAUGGAGUUCUUCGUUAUUAAGUCCAUCUGAAUUGCAGUACUUAUGAUGUUGUUUAAGACCUUGUUUUAACAAAUGGUGUUGAGUUAUAAACUAUGUAUCUUUUGAUGAUCUAUGGAAAGAAACAUGCUUUU